rnacentral:rRNA from 1 species
UGGGGAAUAUUGGACAAUGGGCGAAAGCCUGAUCCAGCAACGCCGCGUGAGGGAUGACGGCCUUCGGGUUGUAAACCUCUUUCAGCAGGGACGAAGCGCAAGUGACGGUACCUGCAGAAGAAGCACCGGCCAACUACGUGCCAGCAGCCGCGGUAAUACGUAGGGUGCGAGCGUUGUCCGGAAUUAUUGGGCGUAAAGGGCUCGUAGGCGGUUUGUCGCGUCGGGAGUGAAAACUCAGGGCUUAACCCUGAGCCUGCUUCCGAUACGGGCAGACUAGAGGUAUGCAGGGGAGAACGGAAUUCCUGGUGUAGCGGUGAAAUGCGCAGAUAUCAGGAGGAACACCGGUGGCGAAGGCGGUUCUCUGGGCAUUACCUGACGCUGAGGAGCGAAAGUGUGGGGAGCGAACA